ACAUGCAGAUAACAUUUAACUUAGGUCAGAAGGGUGGGAGAUAGGGAGCCGCUGGGCCAGUCAGGACAUAUCAUUCUCUUUAUCUUUAUGGCCAAGCAGCCUCAGGAAUAUGUUAACGGGCCUGCCCAGGCGUGUCCUGGCCUGUUCUGCUAUGUUCUCAGCCCCAGGUUUCAAAGCUCACAAACAACUUUUUGGGCUAUUUGACAUAAAUUACAUGAGUCACAGGUCUCAAGUUUUAUUUUCUUUCAUGGUCAGGGAAGCUUCCUCUUGUUUGAAAAUUAAACUCUGAUUUGAUCUUAGAAAAAUGCUUAGUUUUAGGGCCUCUCUCCAGACCAGAUAAAGUCUUGUCUUUGUCAAAGUGUCGCCUGUACUGAAAAACUACUUCAAGUUUUAAAGCAUACACCUUUGUCACCAUGAGUCUGUUAUACUUUCCAUGCUUGAAGUCCCAUUACUACUUCCAGGAGUCACCCACACACUCGGACAGAGUGGUACUAUGCCAUCCUUGCUUGGAUAGUAAACUGUCUCCACCUCCAGGCUUAUACUUUGAAAAACACUCCUUUCCAGAAAGUGCCAUUCCUUGGAGUUGCCUACCACCUCAGGCUCCUACAGUCUUUCCAACUCAUCUUCUUCAUAGUUCCCUGAGCCUGGAGGGGAGGGGUGUGAUACUAAGGACCCUCUUAGGCCUGAGUGCUCCACAGUUUCUCACUCUCUGCUUGUUGUUCACUGAGAGGCUCUGAGUACAUUACUAUACUCUUCAAAAACAAGCUCUUUGUUGAGGGUUCAGCCCCACAGUAUAACAAUGUCAUUGGGAAUUUAAAAAAAAAAGAUUUAUUUAUUUGUUUGUUUGUUUACUAUGUACACAGUAUUCUGCCUGCAUAUAUGUAUGAAGACCAGAAGAGAGCACCAGACAUCAUUGUCCAUGGUAGCCCCUGUGGUUGUUGGGAAUUGAAUUCAGGACCUCUGGAAGAGCAGUCCUUGCUCUCAACCUCUGAGGUAUCUCUCUAGCCUGUGGGGAUGGUUUUAUUGUUAUCUUCUUUUAGGCACCAUGGGCUGAUGUGCAUAUGAACUACAGAGGGUGUGCCAGCAUCCACAAGACCUCUCUACAAGUUCAAACCAGGAAAGUCCCAGAAUGAAGAAGGGGAACAGGGCUUUGUCCCGGGGAAGCAGAGGACAAAAGUGCACCACUACUUUUCUGCAAAGAGCAAGCAGCAUCCAGAAUGAGCAGGUGGGAGCAUGGAACAGAAGCAGCUAGAGGCUCUGGUGGGAAAGGAGAUAGACCAAUUCCGGGGGCCCAGCAGCCUGGAGCUCGGGAUCCCACCAUACUCCGUGAGAAUUGAAGUAUGACAGCACAUUCUGACCCUCGGAUUGCCUCCAAACCACAACGAAGAGCCACAAUGUCAACAGCCUUCCUUCCUUACCUCUGACCAAGCAUUCUGAAGUGAUGCCCUGGAAGUGUAACAUAGAACAUGCUGGCUGUGGGGGUGAGCGGCUUGGGAAGAUGAUGUUCUUUUCUCUCUAGUAAAGCACAGGAAACCUUG